rnacentral:rRNA from 1 species
ACACGUAGGGGGCGAGCGUUGUCCGGAAUUACUGGGCGUAAAGGGUGCGUAGGUGGCCAAAUAAGUCAGUUGUGAAAUACCGAGGCUUAACUUCGGGGGUGCAAUUGAAACUGUAUGGCUUGAGUGCAGGAGAGGAAAGUGGAAUUCCUAGUGUAGCGGUGAAAUGCGUAGAGAUUAGGAGGAACACCAGUGGCGAAGGCGGCUUUCUGGACUGUAACUGACACUGAUGCACGAAAGCGUGGGUAGCGAACAGGAUUAGAUACCCUGGUAGUCCACGCCGUAAACGAUGGAUACUAGGUGUAGGAGGUAUCGACCCCUUCUGUGCCGUAGUUAACGCAAUAAGUAUCCCGCCUGGGGAGUACGUGCGCAAGCAUGAA